AGGUGAGGGAACAGCUUUAUUACUCGCUCAGACUAAACGACGUGGGAGUUGAGCGCGCCUCCUCCACUAUAAGCUUGACCUUCAGAUGAACACAUCUCGGAGCCGACGGCUACAACGCUGCAGUCUCCACACGGCCCAGCGCUGUUUCUCUCUCAGCUGGUUGCAACUUCACGCUACCCAACCAUGAGCCACACGGCGGGGUCUCCAUGGCAACAACAGCUCCCCUCUCUGCUUUCUCCCUCCCUGAUGGCAUCGGCCCACCAGCUGUCACGUCGUAAGUUUUCCACCCACAUAUGUAUGCACACACUCAUACGACCACACAAAUGUAUAUGUUUUUUUUUUACAAAGCACAGAGAUACAUUCAUGCGAAGAAAUAAAACACCUACACUCAAAACAUAUGGCAUAGAAAAGAAAUCACAUACAUUACCUUAGUAAACAGACACCUGUACACCACGAAAACCACAACCUGUCGAGAGCAGAAGAAAAUUCAUAUUAAAGCAGGGUUUUUUAACAUGUUAGAGCUGCAGCUGUUCACUACCAUUUUGCAGGUUAAAAAUUUUGUAUCAAACUACAGAGUACUUCUUCGAGCCCCAUUAACUGUCCUAUUGGUUUGAUGAAAUUAGCUACUCUAUGAUAAUGUUUCAUGCUUGCAACAGAUCUACUGUGAGUGCCACUUUCACAUUUUCUAUACCGCAAAAAAACUGAGAUAGACCAGAACUUUAAAACUUGAUCAGGUUCAGUGAGUGUAUGGCACUAUAUUGGAAAAU